ensembl:lncRNA
GGUGAGCCCAGCAAGCAGCUGUCCAGGGAAUGGGGGUGACUACCUGCUCUGCAUCUCCCAGAGAGCAGCUGGGAGUGAGGCCCUGGGGCUCAGUUCAGCUCCAAGCAUGAAUCGCCAGGGAAGAUCAUCACUGAAGCUUGUGGACCAAGAAAUCAUGCCCGAGAGAAAGUAAUGGCGCCCACCCUGGGUCCCACACCCAGGAAGCAGCAGUCCAAGGAUAAGCUUCCCUCGGAGCUCCUGUUCUUUUGGAAAACUGCUGACCAUGAUCAGUGACAUAAGAGGGAAAGCCAUCAUGGAAGGAAAAGUCCCCAGGUGAGAUGGCGUGGGCUCAACCCCAACCCGGGGAGAUGAAUGAGGAGCUGACAGUUAAGUCAGCUGAUGGACCACGACACAGAGCGGGAAGAGCAAAGGGGCUGCUGCUUACUCCAGCAUCUUGGAGUGAGUUCUGGACCAUCCCAUCCUGACAGACACAUAGCAGGAACCGGCUGGUUGGCGACUUCAUCUACACCACACAUUCCAGAGGUUUUUGGAUUCGUGAGGAAGGAGAAAUCUUGGUGCUGGACCCGAAAGGAUGUGCUAUGGACAAGAGAAUGUGGGUGAGGAGGCUCGACCUCUGAGGAGCAGCACUCAGCUAUCACCCAUGGCUGGCCCUUGAGUCCCCUAUUUCUCGCUUCUCCACCUGAAACCUCCUUUCUAAGGCAGACCUCAGAUACACUGUGGGAUCAAUUCCUGACUACUGCUAUAAAAUGAAUAUUGCAAUAAAG